UACAGAGGGUGCGAGCGUUAAUCGGAAUUACUGGGCGUAAAGCGUGCGUAGACGGUUAUUUAAGUCGGGUGUGAAAGCCCCCGGCUCAACUGGGGAGGGUCAUUCGAUACUGAUCGACUCGAAGGCAGGAGAGGGUAGUGGAAUCCCCGGUGUAGUGGUGAAAUGCGUAGAUAUCGGGAGGAACACCAGUGGCGAAGGCGACUACCUGGCCUGUUCUUGACGCUGAGGCGCGAAAGCUAGGGGAGCAAACGGG
rnacentral:rRNA from 1 species